AGAGUUUGAUCAUGGCUCAGGAUGAACGCUGGCGGCGUGCUUAACACAUGCAAGUCGAACGAUGAUCUCCAGCUUGCUGGGGGGAUUAGUGGCGAACGGGUGAGUAACACGUGAGUAACUGCCCUUGACUCUGGGAUAAGCCUGGGAAACUGGGUCUAAUACUGGAUAUGACCUUCCAUCGCAUGGUGGUUGGUGGAAAGCUUUUGUGGUUUUGGAUGGACUCGCGGCCUAUCAGCUUGUUGGUGGGGUAAUGGCCUACCAAGGCGACGACGGGUAGCCGGCCUGAGAGGGUGGACGGCCACACUGGGACUGAGACACGGCCCAGACUCCUACGGGAGGCAGCAGUGGGGAAUAUUGCACAAUGGGCGCAAGCCUGAUGCAGCGACGCCGCGUGAGGGAUGAAGGCCCUCGGGUUGUAAACCUCUUUCAGUAGGGAAGAAGCGAAAGUGACGGUACCUGCAGAAGAAGCGCCGGCUAACUACGUGCCAGCAGCCGCGGUAAUACGUAGGGCGCAAGCGUUAUCCGGAAUUAUUGGGCGUAAAGAGCUCGUAGGCGGUUUGUCGCGUCUGCCGUGAAAGUCCGGGGCUUAACUCCGGAUCUGCGGUGGGUACGGGCAGACUUGAGUGAUGUAGGGGAGACUGGAAUUCCUGGUGUAGCGGUGAAAUGCGCAGAUAUCAGGAGGAACACCGAUGGCGAAGGCAGGUCUCUGGGCAUUAACUGACGCUGAGGAGCGAAAGCAUGGGGAGCGAACAGGAUUAGAUACCCUGGUAGUCCAUGCCGUAAACGUUGGGCACUAGGUGUGGGGGACAUUCCACGUUUUCCGCGCCGUAGCUAACGCAUUAAGUGCCCCGCCUGGGGAGUACGGCCGCAAGGCUAAAACUCAAAGGAAUUGACGG
rnacentral:rRNA from 1 species